rnacentral:lncRNA from 1 species
GUAAUAAAUACGCCACGAGUCUCCUUGGGUAAAGGAGGCAUACCCCAUCCAAUCGUUACAAGGUAUGAGCAGACACAGUGAGGUUAAAACCUAUAAAAAACAACUCCAAAGCGAAAUCAGUGCGUGGAUUAUUACUGUCAUUAUUAAGCAAAAACAUGGUAAGCGACCGCCGACAGUUUGUGCCCAUGCGUUAAACUGCCAGGGGACCGCCAACCUGCUAAAGCGAACGGUUGUGUAGAAGCCUUGCCCAUGCGUUAGCCUCACAGAGAACGUUAAUAAUUCAAGCACGUUAGGUGAAAGAACAGCCCGAAAAUAAGUAAAACACACACCAAAUCAUUGUGGGAGAAUGGGUUCAGGGUGAAGUGAACCAAUUAUAUACAUUAUACUCUCAAACUGUGGUCAACCCAAAGACUCAUUAAGCCUUAUGUUUUCAUCCCGCAGGCGUAUAUAUAAGACCUGCUAGGAGAGACUGAAUGCUCCAUAGGAGCUCUGCCCGAAGGGUAGCGACCCCCUCUGACAUAGACCUGAACCAAGGGGCGAUAAUCCCCUUGGACAGUACCUACCUAUAUUUACAUAAAUAACCUGAGUCUAUGGGCCUGAAGAUGACCAUUGGGAACACGUCAACCCCACAAAUACACAGCAUGUGUAUUCCCCAUAGGCGAACUCCCACCACAGCUGUAUUUGUAUACAAGACAGCUGCUGCCAGAUGAUAGUUAGACAUAUAUUUGGGCAUUACCAUCACUCAUACUAUAGCUGGAUAGUCAGGGAGGCCAGAAAAAACCUGGAAUAUACAGGAAACCUGGAUGGGGCCAAGACAACCAGCAGCUUCCCCACAAAGCUUCUAUCUUACAAUUUUUUAAUUGGAGGGUUGGUAACACGACAAACAAAGCUCACUAUCGAGGCACAUUUUAUUUAUUUUUAUUUUAUUUUUUUUUUAAAGUUAAUGUGUUCAUAAAUACGUUUUGCACAACAUUUAUUUGUUAACCACACUUAUUUUAUUUCAAUUAUGAUCAGUGGAACUUUCUCGAAUUAUGUGACAUUACUCUCAGAAAAAUAGCUUAUUCAUUACUUUAAUUCAAAAUAGCAAGACCAAAAUUUUGCGAACGAACAUCCGAUCAUGCAUGCAUGAUAUUAGCAGAAAGAAAUUGUAAGAAUAUGUAUGUGGUAGCCAAAAUAGAUUAUAUGCAGUAAAUAAUAGUACAUCAAAGGAUUUUCAAUUUUCAAAAGCGUAGGCAUACAUGGUAUCGUACCAAUCUUUCCUGAUAUCCAUCUUGCCGAUUUAUCGCAAAUGUGCAUAAACAUAUAUCAUAUGCAGAGUUUUAAGUCUCAAAUUUCGUUCACAAAUGAGCUUGCUUUCUUAAGUUUUGAACAGUAAAGUAUUGAAAAUGUAUGCAGGUCAAAUUAAUUUUGUGAAAUAGCUGAAAAAGAAGUUUUAUAAUUCUACUUUUGAGCGAUUGAAUACAGUUUAAUGUAAGGCCUGAUUGAAACCCAAUCCAACGCCAAAUCUGAGGCGUAAUCUGAAGCUUUUUGAAUCUGCGGCUAACCUCAAGGUAGUAAUAAAAUUGUCAUUGGAAUUUUUGAUCGACAAAUAUAAAUACACCAGAAUCACAGAAUGUUGUUAUAAAAUAGACGAAUUUGAAUACAUUUUGGUUGGUUUGAGAUGCGGAAUAUGAAACAAACGUGUCAAUGCACCGCAUACUUACGCGCCGAAUACCGCUUCACUUUGGGAAUCAUGUGCAUUGAGACAUGGAAUGAUAUCAAUUGAACGCUUGUUGAUUUCAUGUUUAGCGGCUUUAGUCUAUCGAUCUUGUUGAUAUUCCCCCAGCGGCGGUUUCAUUUAAUGGUAAUAACUUCGUUGGGACUUGGGCGCUUGUCCGGUAGAGUUCUAUUUGAAUAAACUGCGUCUCACUGAAUUAUCAUACUGAGUUACUGACCAAAUUUUCUUUAAUAUAACCAUAUGUCAAUUCCAGCGUUCAUAGACUCUUUUAUGUCACAUUGUCUCAGUUCAUUCGAUGUCCGUAAUUCUUUACAGC